ACCUCUCACGGCCAACCAAACAUACCAAAAUCCUAUUCGUAGGAAGUAACUUUCCUAAACGUAACUUUCUCGAAAGUUACUUUCUGAGAAAAUUUUUUUUUCCCGCGAAUCAAAUAUGUCCUUAUUCUAUUUGUUCUUUUAGAAAUACAUUUAAAAUCACCUUGAGUGUCAGAACACUUAAAUCCUUUCGUUCCUUGAGAAAUUGGUUCAUUGACUUCACAAAUUGAUUUCGGAAGCACACAAUAUUAGAUAAACAUAGAGCUGAAACUAUAUACGGGAUCCCAAC
rnacentral:lncRNA from 1 species